CCUACGGGAGGCAGCAGUGGGGGAUAUUGCACAAUGGGGGGAACCCUGAUGCAGCGACGCCGCGUGGGUGAAGGAGUGCUUCGGCAUGUAAAGCCCUAUCGGCAGGGAAGAAGCAAGACGGUACCUGACUAAGAAGCCCCGGCUAACUACGUGCCAGCAGCCGCGGUAAUACGUAGGGGGCGAGAGUUAUCCGGAUUCACUGGGUGUAAAGGGAGCGUAGACGGCCAUGCCAGCCAGGGGUGAAAGCCCGGGGCCCAACCCCGGGACUGCCCUUGGAACUGCAUGGCUUGAGUGCGGGAGGGGCAGGCGGAAUUCCUUGUGUAGCGGGGAAAUGCGUAGAUAUCAGGAGGAACACCGGCGGCGAAGGCGGCCUGCUGGACCGCGACUGACGUUGAGGCUCGAAAGCGUGGGGAGCGAACAGGAUUAGAUACCCGUGUAGUC
rnacentral:rRNA from 1 species